rnacentral:lncRNA from 1 species
AUGUGGUAUGAUUGUCAAUGAGACAACUCUACACCAGAGACCAAAUGACACAGAAUUUACAACUAAAGGUCACUGUACGUCCUGCAACAAUUAUGACAACCAAUACAACAUAAUUAGCUAUAAAAGGCCUAGAAAUGAUAAAUGAUCACUGCAAAACAAUACAAAUGAGAAAAUUAAUGGCCUGUUUAAAUAAUGAAUGAAAAAACAAAUAUGGUACACAGCAUUAAACAACAACCACUGAAUUACAGGCUCCUAACUUGGGAUAUGCACAAACAGAAUGUGGCAUGGUUAAUCAGCUAGUAACAAACCUGCAUCUUUAUCCUGGAAAGUGGUGUUACAGUAUUAUAUGAGAACAUACUAUAAAAAUCAUUUGAAAAGAGUGUAACUCCUCAGAUUGAUACAAAGCAAAAAUAUAUCAAACAAAAACACAAGUGGAUGUGGCAUUGUACAUAAACAUAACCACCAAAAAGACACUGAUUACAAUCAGAGAGUACCCGCAGUUGCUGACCGCUGCAUGUCUAUUUUAUAAACCUAUAUUGCACCGACAGUUUUGUUUUAAAUAACGUUCGACCAUAUAUAUAUAUAUAUAUAUGUCGAAACAUCAGCCCAACAAUGUUAAAUCUGUAAAUUUGCUUUUGCUAUUUUCUUUGUUCUUCUUGCCAAGAUUCAAACUCGUGCUACUGAGAUAUCGUGACAGCAAA